UAGUUUCUGUGGAGUGGUUGAAAAACGAGUUUUAAUGACUCCAACCUAAGUGUAUGUAAACUUCAGAAUUCAACUGUACAUGCCCACUUUUGCCGAUGAUGCCCAAUUGCCCAGAGACAACACAUUGUGGUCUUUCCCCAGCUGCCAUGUGGACAUUUGUUGUCAAGUUUGCAUAUGGGUGCUACGCACGCACAUUUCACUCGGCAAAUUGGAGGGACAAUUGUCUUCCAUAAAGUUGAUGCAAACCUCCAAUGCAUUUCAACAAUAUUGCCAAAUGGCCAGGAAUGAUUACCUCCGACACGGUCACUUCUGCCGCAUGUCAACCGUAUAACCGCUGGUGUUGGCUACGUACAAAACCUACCAUAUCAGGAGCUGUUACAGAAGGCUGAGGCAGUGGCCAGACACCAGUCCUGCUUCAGAGUAAUGGAGGACCUUUGAAUAAGGUUGGUCACAUUUGAUUUGGUUAAAAGUCCUGGAAUUCACCUAACCACCAUUGAUAAUGUAACCAGUGCUGUAUGAUGGAGGAAGUCCCCAAAAAAUCAGAGGAAGGCCCGAAACAUUUUCAGACUCCAGCCACUCAAGUCAUAGACUGUUCUCUCUGCUACCGCACGGUAAGCUGUACCAGAGCGCCAAGUCUAGGACCAAAAGGCUCCUUAUUAACAGCUUCUACGCCCAAGCCUUAAGACUGCUGAACAAUGAAUAAAAUGGCCACCUGGACUAUUUACAUUGACACUGCUGCUACUCGCUGUUUAUUAUCUAUGCAUUGUCACUUUACAAAUUACUCUGACUAACCUGUACCCCUGUACAUUAACUCGGUACCGGUACCCCCUGUAUAUAGCCUCGUUAUUGUUUUUAUUAUUAUUUUUCUUCACUUUAGUUUAUUUUGUAAAUAUUUACUUGACUCAAUUAAAUCAACUGCAUUGUUGGAUAAUGGCUUGUAAGUAAGCAUGCCACGGUAAGGUCUACACAUGUUUUAUUCACUGCAUAUGACAAAUAAAAUUGGUUUUGAUUUGUGUACAGUAUGUGUGUCUUGUAUGUUGUAAGGAGGUGCCCCCUUCCACUGUGCCAAUGGACUACUCCUGGGCCUGAGUGAGUAAUGUCAACCAGUCAGUGCCAUGCUGGCACGUGUCCCUUGUGAAUUAGCUGUGAAUCAUAAUCUCUGAUUGGCUAUGAUCAACAGUGUAUUUACUGUUGGCUUCCAUGACUGUAUGGUGACCGACUUUCUCUCUCCCUCCCUCUGUGAUAUACGAGCUGGGUCAGAUAUAGGAGCCUAAGUCAGGCUCCUUUAUGACCAGUAUCUGUGACGAGGGACCUGGAGCCGAUCUACGCUGCCAUAGACAUCAGAUGGAGGACAGAAAGAGAUUCUUUUGAAAUGGAGUCCUCAGGUUGAUACUGAUGUCUGAACCGGGACAGAGAUCUUGCACUCAGCAUUCAAAUUAUACAACAUAUCUAUUACUUGUUGUGGUCUUUUGUUAUUAUUGAAUCGGACUGUACUAUCCAUGUGGGAUACACACACACACACACACACACCAUACAGAAAGGUAUAAUAUUUGCACAUUGUUAUAUUAGCAG